UCCACCAUGCGAACGAGAACUCGCGAGAUGUUGGCUUGAAAAAUCGUAGCUGGCUGUAUCGUGCGCUUCAGCCAGCCAACCAAUAUGGCCGUUACUGUGUGCACCCGGUUUAGCGAUAACUAUGAACUAAAGGAAGAGUUGGGCAAGGGUGCAUUUUCCAUUGUUAGAAGAUGUGUUCAAAAGAAUACUGGAUUAGAAUUUGCUGCAAAAAUAAUUAACACUAAGAAAUUGUCUGCUAGAGUGCAACAGGUACAGGUAGAAGUGGGCAAGAUUCCAGAAUUUCACCAUUGGUCACGUGGGUAUUUUCCCACAGCACUAAUUAUGCAGCUCCACCCGUUCUGUUUUUAUGAAGAAAGCCCCACAUGAUCUGAGAGACUGCUAUCAUUCUUCCCCUCCUAUCAAACCACUUGAGAGGACUUUUCAGCUCAUCUAUAUUUUAAGUGCCCCCAUGCCACACAGACACUAUACAGAAAAGGAUGAAACAAUAAAACUGAAAUGUGUGCAUUUAUUUUUUAUUAAUUAAUAAAAGAAUUUUGUUACAACUUACAAGAUCACCAGAAUUCAGAAGUUUAUUGAAUGCUUUGAAAAGUAGUCUAAGAAACAAAGCAGUUAGGAAACUGCCAUCAAAAUACUAAUACAAUUUAUUUUUUCAUUUUCUUUUGAUUAAAAGUAAAAUUAAGUAAGCAAAUUGACAUUGUCUUUUAAAAUAGUCUGUUGUGUUAUUCACUUUUGCAUUCAAUUCAUUCAUUUUUUAUUAUGCAAUUCUUGUAUUCUUUGAAUAAGAAAGAUAUAUAACAAAUUGCGCUAGUGUAUGAAUUUAUGAGUCUGUUCUUUUAGAUUUAAUUAACAUUUAUUUAUUUAUUUUAAGAAAUAUGUAUGUAGCUACGUACCAAUAGUUUAUUUUGUGAAAUGUAAUAACAUGUAAUGUGUUAUAGUAUUGCCCUCUUGUGCUAAUUGUCUACUUCUUAUAUUUCACUUGUCGAAUCUACGAAUCCAAAUAAAUAAGAUAUCAAAAUAAUUAUGAUAUUAGGGAAUGAACCAACUAUAAAAAUGCAAAUUAAUGUCAUUCUUUUUACUCAUUGAAACAUUUUGAUACAUUCGAGAAUAUGAGUUUUGUUUUUUAUUUAUUUUACGAUGCAGCUUUAGGGUUCUUAAUUUAUUACACAUAUUAUUUUUCCAUUAUUGUUAAUUUAUUUAUAAUAUUUAAUAAUGAUAAAUUGAGAAGUAUUAUUAUUUUUUUAAUAGUGUGUUUAAAUUAUAUCUGUGCUGGGUGGGAAUGGGGAAGAAAACUGUUGCUGUGUGCAUCUUUUUUCUAUGAGGUUUAGGUAUUUCACAGUUUUUAUCAUUAAAAAUGAAAAACAAAUUAAUAUGCCUUUAAUUAAGCAUUCAUCUUCAGAACUUUUUAAAAUGCAAUCCUGUCUUUCCUGCUGUUCAGUGUAUAUUUAUGUGCAAAAUUGAGAGAAUUUGUGCAUUAUCUUUAAUUUCUGAAAAACUAAUGGACAGAUUUUAAUGAAAUUUGGUAUGAAUAUACAUUUAUAACAGAAAAAGAGAUGUACCAUUCAGGAAUUCAUUAUCAGUAAAGCUCAUAGUGCUGGGAUGUCCAAAAUGAGUGUUGUGAUAUUGAACUGAAAGUGAGUCAUGGGGUGGGGUGCCCUCUUGUUGCCAGACAGAAUGAUAUCACACUGGACAGGAAGCAACUGAGAAGUCCCUAGGACAAUCAAUCCCAGUUCUGCAGCAAGGCAGUUUUCAACUUUGGGAUGGCUUUUGGAGAGAGAAGGCAAGAUGAAAUUGCCUUCUGAGCAUCUGAGACAUGCUAGAUUUCUGAAGAGAAUUUGGUCAGGAAUUCUAGCUGGCCAAUCCAUCCGGUGAAUAUUCUUGCUUUUCAGGUAAUUGUUGACUACCUGAGCCAUAUAUUAAUGAGCAUUGUCAUCCAUUAACUAAAACCUAAGACCAACUGUUCUCCUGAAAAGUUGAACAUGGAGCUGUGAGAUCUCUUCUGACAUUUUGUAUACCUCAUAGUAGUCAGGGAGCUUUUGUCAAACACAUGUUGGGGUGUGCAGAUGUCCAAGCCAUUACACUGCUAUAACUGCUGUAAAUAAUCUUUUCCUCCAGUGCUCAAUUGUAGUCUAAUUUAAGACACAUGUUGUCUGCACCAUGCUAAGUGUGCUAUCUUGUGUGCUGCAGUGAAUGGAAUGCAAACAAUGAGUCUUCUGGCAAACAAUAAUCUCAUACCUAUACAGGUUGUGCAAGUGUAUGGCAUACUGGACAGGUAACAGUUGAGGAGCCCCUCUGUGGCAGUUUAUCGCACUCUUGCAGAAAAGCAAUUUUUAACUCUGAAAUGGGAAUGGAGAGAUGCAAUUGUCCUCCCAAAAGUACUAAACAUGCUUUAUAGGGUUAAGAGCAGGAUGUCUGGUUGGCCAGUCUAUGUAGUGAAUAUCCUCAUUUCCCAGGUAAUUUAUUACCAGUUGAGACCUGUGUACAAGUGUUGUCCAUUAACAGGAAUCCAGAACCACAUCAACCCUGAGGGCUCAAAGCAGUCAGAGAGCCUUUGUCAAACUCAUCCAACAUGAAGCCUUUGGGCAACUGUAGACUGUGAAACUCAAGUUUCAGUGGCAGCAUGAAGCUCAUGUGAGAACUGUUAAGCUGUAGCAGUCUGAUUGCUGUGCUAAAACAUGCCAAAUCAUGACCCUCAUCCGUUGUUGUGGAUCUUGGCUGGCAUUGUCCCGGUCUUCUCGAUGUGGAUCCAGUGUCCUGAAACUAUUCUCAUGAAUUACAGAUGACACUGAGUAUUACAUUCGGUUCUGUAGCCAUCUGUGCUUGUGAUUGUCCUGCCUCUGUUAUACCAAUAAAUCUCCAUCUAAUUCUGUCAUUCAUACAUUUGUGGCUACUCAUUUUACCUUAUAAUAUUUACCCAACUCUUGCAAGAAACAUGACGAAUAUCGUGAAGGAGUAUGAGCACACAAAUUGCCAGAUAACCCUCAUACGAUAAUAUCCCCUCCGCAACCAUAGCUCUGCAAUUCCACACAGCUCCUUAUAUAUUUGACUCUGAAUUAUUUGUACAAAUCUUUGGUGUCAUAAUUAGUACCUUUGAUUCAAUACUUUUUGUAAAAAUAGACAAAUUUGCAAAUUCUUUUAAUUUGCACAUUAUGAAGUAAUAAGUCUGGGACUGUAAUCUUCAAAACUGUUUCAUAGAAGAGAAAAAUUUAAGGCUGAAUUUACUUGAAAUUAAUUAAAAAUUGGCUUAAUUAAAAGGCAUCAUAAUUUAAAUUAAAAACAUAAUUUUUUUAAUAUAUUUAAUGACAUAUUUUCCAUUUAAAUGUAAAAUAUUAAGAAUAGUUUUAGCUCAUAUAGUUUUCAGUCAUCUUUUUUUGUUGAUUGUUAUUUUUAAUAAAUUUAAAAUUUUUUUGAAUGUUUAUUUUAAUAAUUUUAUGUCUUAAUGCAUAUGUGUUAACAAUAAAUUGAUUUUGGAGAAUUUUUGUACUUUAUAUUGUGCUUAAUGAUUU